UACGUAGGGUGCGAGCGUUAAUCGGAAUUACUGGGCGUAAAGCGUGCGCAGGCGGUUCGUUGUGUCGGUGGUGAAAGCCCCGGGCUUAACCUGGGAAUGGCCAUGGAAACUGGCGAACUGGAGUGUGGCAGAGGGGGGUGGAAUUCCGCGUGUAGCAGUGAAAUGCGUAGAGAUGCGGAGGAACACCGAUGGCGAAGGCAGCCCCCUGGGUCAAGAUUGACGCUCAUGCACGAAAGCGUGGGGAGCAAACAGG
rnacentral:rRNA from 1 species